GUGAUUUGGGCAUCUGGGUCAUUGGAUUUCAGUUGAGUUUGGCUUUGGAUUUUGUGCUAGAUGCACAUAUUUGUUUAUCGCUUUGAAGAGUUUUUGAUGCUUUGUUGCUAAGAAAGAAGCAGCCUGAUGACAGAAGAAAGGAUGCAAUUGUGAAAGAUAGUACAAUUCUUGCACGCGUGCUUGAUAACACUUCAUCUCAUGACGCCGUUAAGUUUAUCAUGUAUAAUGACACACUUGGCCACACUACAAUGGAGCAAAGGGAAGCAGAUGAAAGUUUAGCAGCUGUUGCUACAACAAUUACACUGGAAGAGGUCACUUCCAAACGCGCUAAAUAAUUUGCAGCUAACUAAGUUUGUAUUAACUGAUUCUUUAGAGACCAUUGAGAGAAAAUACGGGUGUGUGUUAGACGUGAGAGAAAAAAAGAGAAAGAAAUAGAGUUUAUUUUAGUUAUUACUGAU